rnacentral:snoRNA from 2 species
UGGCCAGUGAUGAAACGUGAGUUGUACAGAAACCCUGGUGAGUUAAAUGAAGUGAAAUCGACACACAUUGCGUCUCUGAGGCCA